GCCGCCGUGGCGGAAUUGGGUAGACGCGCUAGACUCAAAAUCUAGUGGAGGCAACUCUGUAUCGGUUCGAGUCCGAUCGGCGGUA
rnacentral:tRNA from 1 species